UACGGAGGAGGCAAGCGUUAUCCGGAAUUAUUGGGCGUAAAGCGUCCGUAGGUGGUUUAGUAAGUCUGCUGUUAAAGCGCGGGGCUUAACUCCGUAUCGGCAGUGGAAACUACUAGACUAGAGUGUGGUAGGGGUAGAGGGAAUUCCCAGUGUAGCGGUGAAAUGCGCAGAUAUCAGGAGGAACACCAAUUGCGAAGGCAGCUCGCUGGGACGUGACUGACGCUGAGACGCGAAAGCGUGGGGAGCAAGCAGG
rnacentral:rRNA from 1 species